rnacentral:lncRNA from 1 species
GCCAGGCCUUGUGGCCCUUCGUAUCCCACCUCACAUUGCAAUAGAACCAUCAUUUUUAUGGUGCUUCAUAGUUGAUGAAGGGCCCRUCACUUUCCCUCAGGAUUGCUCCAUUGCUAUUUUAGUGACAUUAGCUUACCCUUCCUGUGAGAUUUUGUAACUUUCUUACCUGGUAGAAACUGCAAAUCCUUUUCUUUCAUUUUCCUCUCCUUUUUAAGUCAAGGGCUCCUAUUGGAGGGUGGCUAGCUGGGCAGUAAGUGGAAUGUGGUGGGUCAGAGGGGCAGUCCAGUUGAAAACUCCUGAAGCCUGGAAGCCUCCAUCCUCCCCAUSUCUGUCACCCAGGCAAGAGAGAGCAGCCAAGCUGGGCCGAGGGUUAUUUUUAAUCUCAAAAUGUAGUAUAUGAGAACAACAGCCCUCAUCCUGGGAGGACCUGCCAAGAGACUGCAGACCCUGAGGAGGUGUCAGAAGGCAGCUGCUUCACAUUGCCCUCGGAAGCCAGAGCUGGGAUGAAGUUAUGAGACCUACCACAGGCUUGAGGUGAGAAUUCAGCAAGACAGUACAGGUGGAGCCCUUGAAAGAGACACACGGAUCAUGGUUAGUGCUCCAGAAACAUCAGCGCCUACUGCUUCUAUGAUUUUUCUACUCAGGAAGAACUUCCUGUGUUUCAGGCACUGGCUUUACUUCCUGUAUCAUUUGGUGCAGGCCUGCCAGCUGGUUGCUCACCACCUUUCUGAUCCUGGCAGCCCCUUCAGACUGUUGGCAACAGCGUCGUAKAUGACACAUCAUUUUUUUCUAGUUUCUAUUAUCUGUUGAAGAUCACAAUAUGCGGCAUCUAACCUGUGACAGCAAUCUGGGGUCAUCAUCCGGGACUCUUGCAGGAUCUCUGCCUACAUUUUAAGGUCAUCAUUUUUGCCACAUUCAGCUUUCUUUUUUUUUUUUUAAUCUUCUCUUCCAGUUGUUUUGCUUAUUUUUCAUACAUCACUCUUUCUUUGACCAAUUUUUUUUACCAUGGGGGAUCUUGAUCUUGGUCUGCUUCACAUGAGGAUGUGCUUGGUCCCAAGAGCCACUGGAAGGAGGGGCUGAGAACAAGAAUUUUAAACAGAAAUUCUUCAUAAAAAUCACAACUAUGAAAGAACUACAAAACAAAACUUGUGGGAUACAGAUUCCUGGAAAAACAAGGUUGAAAGUAAAUGAAUUAAAAUUUUAAUCCUAAAGAYUAAGAAAAAAGAUUUAGCUAAUGUAUUUAAGGUCCUUUGCAGAAUGCUUGUCAUACAAUAAAAGGAAAUGCAGAUGUUCUUGGACUUAAAAU